GUCUUGUUAUUUAAUGUGUGAGUAAAAUACAUUAUUACAUGUGUGUUAAGAAUUUUAUUAACUGUUACUGUAUUUCUUUUCUCUCUUUCCUUCUGCAAGUCUCACUCUGUCGCCUAGGCUGGAGUGAAGUGGCACCCAUCUCGGCUCACUGCAGCCUUGACUUCCCAGGCUUAAGGGAUCCUCCUGCCUCAGCUCCCGAGUAGCUGGGCCCUCAGAUGUGCUCCACCACGCCCGGCUAAUUAAAAAAAAAAGUUUUUGUAGAGACGGUCUCACUAUGUUGGCCAGGCUGGUCUCCAACUCCUAGGCUCAAGCGAUCCUCCCGCCUCGGCCUCCCAAAUUGUUGGGAAAACCGGCGUGAGCCCCGCGACCAGCCAACUAUUUACCAUAGUAGCCUUCCUUCCUAAUCUUGUUAUUUUAUUCAUCUAAAAAUAUUUUGAGAGGGGCUUUGUAGGCUUCCCCAGGCUGCGUCAGGGUCGGGAUCUAGAGCGAGGACCAGGCUGGGGCGAGGGCGCCGUGUUCUCAACUGCAGGGCCUGAAGCGGGGCGGGAGGGUAAGGGCGCACACUACCCAGGCAGGGACAGGGACCCCGCAGAGCCUGCCAAGGGGCAGCCACGCGGCCCACGGAGCCGGAGAUGAGGGAGGAGCCUGGCCCGCGCCCGGCCCCCGCUCGGGUCGGUGUAGCCCAGCCCCAGCCUCCCAACUGCUGAGGAUGAGAGCAGGGCCGCGGCCUUCGCCCGGCGCAGCGCCUGCGUUCCCGCCGCCCUUCCCAGUGCCGCGAGGAAGCUGCGGCAGGAAGAAGGGCGGAGGUGCCCCGGGCGCCUGAGACGCCCGGCAAUGGCCCCGCUACUCUCGCCGCGCACACGCAAAGCCGCUUCCCAGGCAGUUGCGGCGUUCGGGGCCCGCUUCCUCUCGGGAAGCAGGGGCGAGGAGCCCUCGAAGGUCUCGGGCGGCAGCGGCUCUCGGCGCAGAGGGCGGAGGGUACGACCGCGACACAGGCGGGGCGGCAGCUAGCUCGCGAGGUGCACCCGGCACAGGCCCCGCCCCGCGCUUCCGGCUCUCAGGGCCCUCGUGCCCCGCCCCGCCCUCCUCCCCGGGGCCCCUCGUCCCCCGCGCCCGCCUAGCCCCGCCCCGGCUGUGCUGGAUCCUCGACGCCCAUCGCCAGGGGUGGAAUCCCAGCCCCGCCUAACACAGGUGGAAAGAGGCGCAGAGAGGCCUAGUGACGAGCUGGGAUCACAGGGAGUUGAUGGCAGCGCCGGGAGAGCCCAGGCUCCGAACUCCCGGGCUGGGUUCUGCCCCUACAGCCCGAAAAGAAAGCAAG
rnacentral:lncRNA from 1 species